CCUACGGGUGGCAGCAGUCGAGAAUCAUUCACAAUGGGGGAAACCCUGAUGGUGCGACGCCGCGUGGGGGAAUGAAGGUCUUCGGAUUGUAAACCCCUGUCAUGUGGGAGCAAAUUAAAAAGAUAGUACCACAAGAGGAAGAGACGGCUAACUCUGUGCCAGCAGCCGCGGUAAUACAGAGGUCUCAAGCGUUGUUCGGAAUCACUGGGCGUAAAGCGUGCGUAGGCUGUUUCGUAAGUAGUGUGUGAAAGGCGCGGGCUCAACCCGCGGACGGCACAUGAUACUGCGAGACUAGAGUGAUGGAGGGGGAACCGGAAUUCUCGGUGUAGCAGUGAAAUGCGUAGAUAUCGAGAGGAACACUCGUGGCGAAGGCGGGUUCCUGGACAUUAACUGACGCUGAGGCACGAAGGCCAGGGGAGCGAAAGGGAUUAGAUACCCCUGUAGUC
rnacentral:rRNA from 1 species